GCCGAGGUAGCUCAGUUGGUAGAGCAGAGGACUGAAAAUCCUUGUGUCGGCAGUUCGAUUCUGCCCCUUGGCACCA
rnacentral:tRNA from 1 species